rnacentral:rRNA from 1 species
UACGGGGGGAGCAAGCGUUGUUCGGAUUUACUGGGCGUAAAGGGCGCGUAGGCGGCCAGCACAAGUCAGUUGUGAAAUCUCCGAGCUUAACUCGGAAGGGUCAACUGAUACUGGAUGGCUUGAGUUCGGGAGAGGGAUGCGGAAUUCCAGGUGUAGCGGUGAAAUGCGUAGAUAUCUGGAGGAACACCGGUGGCGAAGGCGGCAUCCUGGACCGAUACUGACGCUGAGGAGCGAAAGCCAGGGGAGCAAACGGG